rnacentral:lncRNA from 1 species
UAUAAUAAGCUGCGACGAAGCGAAUUUCUCGUCUGGAACCCUCGAACUCCUAGCUUGACGGCUUGACUGCAUUACCUUCCUUCGUCACCUUCUUAACUGCUGACAGCAUCAUCCCGAAUUUUGUUUGUCUCAUGCAAAAUGAAUCUCAGUCCUCUCAUUUUCUAACCGCAUUCAUAUUAUGGAAAGCAGCCAAGCGGGUCGCGGGGGAAGGGCCGUCAGCCCUGCCCUACUUGACCUAUCCUGGUUUACGAAAGCCCAAGGUCGAUCGUGUCGCUAUAAGAGCUUCUUUCGGAGGGUUCAUUUCCAGCAUAGUGGUGAAACCAUUUGAGUUUGAGACUGUGGACACCCUUUUAGGCUAUUACUGUUUUUCUUUCUCUUGCUUCUUUAAACUCUUUCUAUCGGGGCAGUCAAGUUCCCCCCUUUCUUUGUGAUGUCAAAGCAGUGUCUUCUUUAGUUGACUUGUCUUCCCCCGGUAACCAUGGAGGUCGGAGAAGUCCUAUCUCGAGUGUGGGGCCUAGAAGCCUUAUAAACGUUUGAAUCCCUUUUCUGUUAGCAGAACUGAUAGAGUACGAUCUUGCUUUUUGCUCUUUCUCCCCUGUCUGCUGCCCUGCUUUAAGCCGAAACAGGUUUCGAAGGAAGAAGUGGGGAGAUAGUGGCUCUCGUUCCUUCACCUAUGCCCGAGUAGCCUCUCUGGUCGACUAAAGCUCACUGCUAAUGGAAGGGCGCGGCUGGCCGAUUCCCUCUAGUCUAGUGGGUUCACUCAUUAACCUUCAUUGCGAGAAGUGAAAGUAAAGGGAUUGGAGAAUCUAUAGUUUAUGGUUCCCUGUUCAUGAAUCGGGUAGCUCCGUUCCCGAAUCGAUUUUGAUACCUCCUAUGAAUCUAGAAAGCUAAGGGGAUGGAUACCACUGAUAAGAAAGGCUGGUCACAAUCAAUCUCUUCCAAUUGCGUCAAUCAGAUAGAUGCCUGAAUCGGACAUAUGAGAUGAGCCCGUCGCUCUUUGCGUGAAGACCAGAUGCGCUCUUAGCUGCCUUUAAAGAUGCCAAGUAAAAGCCCUAUUCGGGUUUUGAGUGCCCAUUCUCUACUGCAAAUAGCGUCAGUUGUUCACGAAGAGGAUUGAUUCAUGGCGCAAUCCAUCUUUGUCCGGGUUCUUUCACUCCUCAAUAAUUUGAUUGACUCUGACUACUCUUCGGGGUACGGCUAAGCCUAACUCUGGACAGCUUCUUGCGUGCUCAGAGGAAGUCUAACUGACAAGCCUUAUUGGUCUUGCACACUAGCACACUCACUUAAGCAUCCGCCUUUGUAUCUAUCUCCACUGCUGGAUUUAAAGAAAGGAAGUGAUCUUAGAUUGAAGAAGUUCAUUAUUCUGAUUUCAGAUCUUUUUCUUAGAUUACCUUAAGAAACCCCCUCCCAACUCACCUUAUCCGUCUUUCAUAUCUGCCUCGAAGGAUACUGGAUCCUCGGAGUAGGUCGGUCAUCAGAUAUUUUCGACUCUCUAGUGUUAAGCAUAUGGUGCGGGACGGGGGGUCCUCACUCUUGACAGCUGGCCGCUUUCAAGUCGAUUCAUUAGUUUGGACUCAUUAUUUGAGAUUUUUGAGGAUUCAAGAUUGUAUCACAAGGAAAGAGUUAAGAAUGACUGACUGACCAAGUCAAGUCAUCACUUUCAUCCACAUCCACAUAUAGUUAAGUGUGCGACCGAGCAAGUAGUCUUCUUUCUAUGUAGUCUAUGUAGUACGAUCAAUUCAGUCUAUCGCUGCGCUGCGCUGAUUGCGCGUCCGUUGAUUGAACACAUUUUGGGUUAAUAGAUAAUAGAGAUUGGCUUGGUCUUCAGUCUAACCUACUCUUUUGAGAAAGAAUGCUUUGCAUUCCAAGUGUGAUGCCAUACCAUAGCUGUCAGAGUAAGAGAGAGUCUAAACAACCACACUAGUACUAUAGCCUUUUUCUAACUGCCUUGACGCCUUGGCAGGCUUGGGAGUUUACUGAUGUAAGCUCAAACUUCGGAGUUUAUGUAAAUGCCCC